rnacentral:tRNA from 1 species
GUCCUGGUUUCACUCACUCAAUAGAGCAUGAGACUCUUAAUCUCAAGGUUGUGGGUUCAAGCCCCACGUUGGGCA